AGGAGUUUAGCUCAGCUGGUAGAGCACCGGUCUCCAAAACCGGGGUCGUGGGUUCGAGUCCCUCAACUCCUGCCA
rnacentral:tRNA from 1 species